rnacentral:rRNA from 1 species
UACGUAGGGGGCUAGCGUUGUCCGGAAUCAUUGGGCGUAAAGCGCGUGUAGGCGGCCCGGUAAGUCCGCUGUGAAAGUCGGGGGCUCAACCCUCGGAAGCCGGUGGAUACUGUCGUGCUAGAGUGCGGAAGGGGCAACUGGAAUUCUCGGUGUAGCGGUGAAAUGCGUAGAUAUCGAGAGGAACACCUGCGGCGAAGGCGGGUCUCUGGGCCGAUACUGACGCUGAGGAGCGAAAGCGUGGGGAGCAAACAGG